rnacentral:lncRNA from 1 species
GCGGCUACAUGAGCGAUACAAUGCGCGAUGCCACCUCCUUUCGAGGAUUGUACAAGACAAUUACUUGAGCUGUGGUCGUCUUCCCCACCAUACACCCCCCGGCACUAAGCCUAACUGCUGACAAGUUGCGAAAUGAAAACGCAACGGUCUGGCCUCAGGUAUCGUUACCCGACGUCGUUGUCAGGCGAUGAUGCGUCUUGACUAUACAGACCCGUGACGUAUGGGGAUGAAAGUUCAGGCGAGGCC